rnacentral:rRNA from 1 species
CCUACGGGGGGCAGCAGUGGGGGAUAUUGCACAAUGGGGGGAACCCUGAUGCAGCGACGCCGCGUGGGUGAAGAAGCGCCUCGGCGCGUAAAGCCCUGUCAGCAGGGAAGAAAAUGACGGUACCUGAAGAAGAAGCCCCGGCUAACUACGUGCCAGCAGCCGCGGUAAUACGUAGGGGGCAAGCGUUAUCCGGAUUUACUGGGUGUAAAGGGGGCGUAGGUGGGCGCUUAAGUCAGGUGUGAAAACUCCGGGCUCAACCUGGAGACUGCACUUGAAACUGGGUGUCUUGAGGGCAGGAGAGGAAAGUGGAAUUCCUAGUGUAGCGGUGAAAUGCGUAGAUAUUAGGAGGAACACCAGUGGCGAAGGCGACUUUCUGGACUGUACCUGACGCUGAGGCGCGAAAGCGUGGGUAGCGAACGGGAUUAGAUACCCCAGUAGUC